AGGACGAACGCUGGCGGCGUGCUUAACACAUGCAAGUCGAGCGGAAAGGCCCUUCGGGGUACUCGAGCGGCGAACGGGUGAGUAACACGUGAGCAACCUGCCCCUGGCUCUGGGAUAGCCUCCGGAAACGGGGAUUAAUACCGGACAUUCACUUCCUUCCGCAUGGUUGGUGGUGGAAAGUUUUUCGGCCGGGGAGGGGCUCGCGGUCUAUCAGCUUGUUGGCGGGGUAACGGCCCACCAAGGCGACGACGGAUAGCCGGCCUGAGAGGGCGAUCGGCCACACUGGGACUGAGACACGGCCCAGACUCCUACGGGAGGCAGCAGUGGGGAAUAUUGGACAAUGGGGGCAACCCUGAUCCAGCAAUGCCGCGUGAGUGAUGAAGGCCUUAGGGUUGUAAAGCUCUUUCGGCGGGGACGAUGAUGACGGUACCCGCAGAAGAAGCCCCGGCUAACUUCGUGCCAGCAGCCGC
rnacentral:rRNA from 1 species